rnacentral:lncRNA from 1 species
UUCUUAUUCUUCUUCCUCCCAUCCCACAUUUCUUCACCUUCGAUGGGAGCACUCUUCAAGCUUCCAUAACCCUAUCAAGUUAGCCUUCAUUUUCAUGCUUUUGUGCAUUUUUUUAUAAAACCUCAUGCUCUUUCACUCUUUCACUUUAAAACCCUUAAAAUGUCUUAGAUAAAUACUUUUUCUCACUAACUAGGGUUUUAGAGAGAGAAAGAAAGACCUUCUAUAAUUGUUUGGGAAUUUUUGAGGAGAUAUUCAAUUGCAAAUCUAGCAAGGUGAGAAUUUAAAUUGAGUUGAUAUUUUAGUUGUUGAGAAUGAUUAAUAGUUAGAUUUAUGAGCGUUUUGUAGUUGAGAUAGUUUAUUCAUUUUGGUGUGAUUAUAAUAGUGUAAAUAAUUAGCCACUUGAUGGUAGUUAGAAGCUAGUUAGGAAUAACUAGUGAAACAUGAUUUAGGAGAUAGCUUUUAGAAUUAUGGUUAUGUGAUUGAGUUAAUUAUGACGCUAAUGUGUGAUAGGUUCCACUGAAACCCCAAAUCACCAUUCGGGGCAUUAGUGGAAUUUGGAGUAAUUUAAGAAUCAACAAAGACAGGUGAGUGGACUUGCAUUUCAAAAUUUGUUAUGGAAAUGUGAAGGUAAUUGUACAAACAUUUAAAAGAUUUUAUCCAGCUUUUUUUUUAAAAUGUACCUUGGGAACAAGCCUUUGGUGAAGUGUUUUUAUCUUGUGAAAAUGUGCUACAUAAAUGGUUUAUGUGUUAUCACAAUAUGAUGAUAUGUAUAAUAUGCAUUGGGUGUUUCUUUCGUAUGUUGAUAUUGACUCGGCUAUGUGUGAGUAGGAGUGUGUAUAUGUCGAUGAUGACUUGGCUAUGUGUAAGCAGGAGUGCGUAUAAGCUGAUGCUGACGCAGCCAUGUGCUAGUGAGGAGUGCACAUGAGCUGAUGAUGAUGGGAGAGUGUGCAUGGUGAUGGAUAUAUAUAUAUAUACAUAUAUGUUUGCACAUGUGUGACUAUAAUGUAUGUGGAAUCUUGUUUGUUGAACCUUGAGCAUUUUUUUUAGUGUUCCAAAUUGAUUUGCAUUGCAGUGAAAUGGUUUAUUUAGGAUGAAAGGAAGUCUUUCUUGUUGCUCUGUUUCUUGCUGCAGCGAGAAUGAAACUUUCUGUGCCGCUUAUCACUUGGCUGGUUUUUGCCAUAUUUUCCACUUCUUCAAUUUCAUGUUGAAUAUGAAUUCUCUAUCAUCACAUGAUUUAUCAACCAAGGGUUCAAUUAAGGGUUUUAAUAAGGACUUAAGCUAAAGUGCAUCGUUUUCAAAUAAGUGCAUUAUGAUUUCAAACUUUUCCUUAUUCUAUUGCUUGUUCCUUUCCUUGUUCACUCACUGGGUUUAUACUCACCAUUUCUAACUUCAUGUUUUCAGAUCAAGAGGCAGUUGGUAACUAGGUAGAGGUGUCUUCGUAUAUUCAACCCAUGGUAGGUGUCCGACAUUCAGUAGCUGUACAUUUCUUCAAGUCUCUCCGUUGGAAGUCAAGUACUCUUUUUGUUGUGUAUAGACAGACUCAAUGUAAAUUAUUAAGAUGU